rnacentral:misc_RNA from 1 species
AGGGAUCAUUACCGAGUUCAUGCCCUUACGGGUAGACCUCCCACCCUAUGUUAUAUUACCUUUGUUGCUUUGGCGGGCCGCCCGGCUUCGGCCAGGCUACCGGCUCCAGCUGGUAAGCGCUCGCCAGAGGACCCUCAACUCUGAAUAUCAGUGUCGUCUGAGUACUAUAAAAUAGUUAAAACUUUCAACAACGGAUCUCUUGGUUCUGGCAUCGAUGAAGAACGCAGCGAAAUGCGAUAAGUAAUGUGAAUUGCAGAAUUCAGUGAAUCAUCGAAUCUUUGAACGCACAUUGCGCCCCUUGGUAUUCCGAGGGGCAUGCCUGUUCGAGCGUCAUUACAACCCUCAAGCACUGCUUGGUAUUGGGCUCCGCUGGCUCCAGCGGGCCUUAAAAUCAGUGGCGGCGCCGUUUGGGCUCUGAGCGUAGUAAAUAUCCUCGCUAUAGAGACCAGGCGGUUCUUGUCAUCAACCCCCAACUUUCUAAGUUUGACCUCGGAUCAGGUAGGGAUACCCGCUGAACUUAA